rnacentral:rRNA from 1 species
UACGUAGGUGGCAAGCGUUGUCCGGAAUUAUUGGGCGUAAAGAGCGUGUAGGCGGCCUGAAAGGUCAGCUGUGAAAACUCGAGGCUCAACCUCGAGACGUCGGUUGAAACCAUCUGGCUAGAGUCCGGAAGAGGAGUGUGGAAUUCCCGGUGUAGAGGUGAAAUUCGUAGAUAUCGGGAGGAACACCGGUGGCGAAGGCGGUGGUCUGGGCCGAUACUGACGCUGAGGAGCGAAAGCGUGGGGAGCGAACAGG